AGAGUUUGAUCAUGGCUCAGAGCGAACGCUGGCGGCAGGCCUAACACAUGCAAGUCGAGCGGGCCCUUUCGGGGGUCAGCGGCGGACGGGUGAGUAACGCGUGGGAACGUACCUUUUGGUUCGGAACAACACAGGGAAACUUGUGCUAAUACCGGAUAAGCCCUUACGGGGAAAGAUUUAUCGCCGAAAGAUCGGCCCGCGUCUGAUUAGCUAGUUGGUGAGGUAAUGGCUCACCAAGGCGACGAUCAGUAGCUGGUCUGAGAGGAUGAUCAGCCACAUUGGGACUGAGACACGGCCCAAACUCCUACGGGAGGCAGCAGUGGGGAAUAUUGGACAAUGGGCGCAAGCCUGAUCCAGCCAUGCCGCGUGAGUGAUGAAGGCCCUAGGGUUGUAAAGCUCUUUUGUGCGGGAAGAUAAUGACGGUACCGCAAGAAUAAGCCCCGGCUAACUUCGUGCCAGCAGCGGCGGUAAUUC
rnacentral:rRNA from 1 species